rnacentral:snoRNA from 1 species
AUCCUUUUGUAGUUCAUAAGCGUAAUGAUUGGGUUUUCACACGCAUGUGUGAGAUGGGCUUUCCUCAAACCUUGUUACAACCUGGGCACGUUGCCCGUCUGACA